CCAUUUUGGUAACACAUAUAUUAAAAUUGAAACAACACAGAAAAGAUUAGCAUGUUCCCUUCACAAGGACAAUUUUUUAAAAAAACAAAAGAAUAAAAUAAAG